UGAUCAGGACAGAACACAGACAUCACCAUGGAGUUUGUGCUUGGCUGGGUUUUCCUUGUUGCUGUUUUAAAAGGUGUCCAGUGUGAGGUGCAGCUGGUGGAGUCUGGGGGAGGCCUGGUGAAGCCUGGAGGGUCCCUGAGACUCUCCUGUGCAGCCUCCGGAUUCACCUUCAGCAACUUCUACAUGAACUGGGUCCGCCAGGCUCCAGGGAAGGGGCUGGAGUGGGUUGCAGAUAUUAGUGGUAGUGGAAGUAGCACAAGCUACGCAGACUCCGUGAAGGGCCGAUUCACCAUCUCCAGAGACAACGCCAAGAACACGCUGUAUCUGCAGAUGGACAACCUGAGAGUCGAAGACACGGCCACGUAUUUCUGUGCGAGAGACACAGUGAGGAGUCAUCAGUGUGAGCCCAGACACAAAUCUCUCUGA